GCCCGCUCAGAAACUCAAAUGAAGUUGACGGGGCCCGCCACAAGCGGAGGAGCAUGUGGUUUAAUUUCGAUGAUACGCGAGGAACUUACCUGGGCUCGAACGUAAGAUGACUGUAGGUGAAAGCUUACAUCUCUUCGGAGCAUUUUACGAGGUGCUGCAUGGUUGUCGUCAGCUCGUGCCGUGAGGUGUCGGGUUAAGUCCCAUAACGAGCGCAACCCCUACCUUUAGUUGCCAUCAGGUAAUGCUGGGGACUCUAAAGGAACUGCCUACGCAAGUAGUGAGGAAGGCGGGGAUGACGUCAAAUCAGCACGGCCCUUACGUCCAGGGCUACACACGUGCUACAAUGGCCGAUACAGAGGGCAGCUACCUGGUGACAGGAUGCAAAUCUCCAAAGUCGGUCUCAGUUCGGAUCGGAGUCUGCAACCCGACUCCGUGAAGUUGGAUUCGCUAGUAAUCGCGCAUCAGCCAUGGCGCGGUGAAUACGUUCCCGGGCCUU
rnacentral:rRNA from 1 species